UACGUAGGUGGCAAGCGUUGUCCGGAUUUAUUGGGCGUAAAGCGCGCGCAGGCGGUGAGGUAAGUCCGUCGUGAAAUCUCCCGGCUCAACUGGGCGGGGUCAGCGGAUACGGCGGAGCUUGAGCAAGCUAGGGGGCAAUGGAAUUCCCGGUGUAGUGGUGGAAUGCGUAGAUAUCGGGAGGAACACCUGUGGCGAAAGCGGCUCACUGGACCAUAACUGACGCUGAUGCACGAAAGCUGGGGGAGCAAACAGG
rnacentral:rRNA from 1 species